AGCAAUUAUACAGCGAAACUGCGAAUGGCUCAUUAUAUAAGUUAUCGUUUAUUUGAUAGCACCUUACUACUUGGAUAACCGUGGUAAUUCUAGAGCUAAUACAUGCUAAAAAUCCCGACUUCGGAAGGGAUGUAUUUAUUAGAUACAAAACCAAUGCCCUUCGGGGCUCACUGGUGAUUCAUGAUAACUUCGCGAAUCGCACAGCCUUGCGCUGGCGAUGGUUCAUUCAAAUUUCUUCCCUAUCAACUUUCGAUGUUUGGAUAUGGGCCAAACAUGGUUGCAACGGGUAACGGAGGGUUAGGGCUCGACCCCGGAGAAGGAGCCUGAGAAACGGCUACUACAUCCAAGGAAGGCAGCAGGCGCGCAAAUUACCCAAUCCCGACACGGGGAGGUAGUGACAAUAAAUACUGAUACAGGGCUCUAUAGGGUCUUGUAAUCGGAAUGAGUACAAUUUAAAUCUCUUAACGAGGAACAAUUGGAGGGCAAGUCUGGUGCCAGCAGCCGCGGUAAUUCCAGCUCCAAUAGCGUAUAUUAAAGUUGUUGUGGUUAAAAAGCUCGUAGUUGAACCUUGGGCCUGGCUGGCCGGUCCGCCUCACCGCGUGCACUGGUCCGGCCGGGCCUUUCCCUCUGUGGAACCCCAUGCCCUUCACUGGGUGUGGCGGGGAAACAGGACUUUUACUUUGAAAAAAUUAGAGUGCUCCAGGCAGGCCUAUGCUCGAAUACAUUAGCAUGGAAUAAUAAAAUAGGACGUGCGGUUCUAUUUUGUUGGUUUCUAGGACCGCCGUAAUGAUUAAUAGGGACAGUCGGGGGCAUCAGUAUUCAGUUGUCAGAGGUGAAAUUCUUAGAUCUACUGAAGACUAACUACUGCGAAAGCAUUUGCCAAGGAUGUUUUCAUUAAUCAGGAACGAAAGUUAGGGGAUCGAAGACGAUCAGAUACCGUCGUAGUCUUAACCAUAAACUAUGCCGACUAGGGAUCGGACGAUGUUAUUACUUGACUCGUUCGGCACCUUACGAGAAAUCAAAGUGCUUGG
rnacentral:rRNA from 1 species